rnacentral:rRNA from 1 species
GGGCCCGCACAAGCGGUGGAGCAUGUGGCUUAAUUCGAGGCAACGCGAAGAACCUUACCUGGUCUUGACAUGCCCGUCAUAGUUUUCCGAAAGGAAUUCGUCGGUUCGGCCGGACGGUGCACAGGUGCUGCAUGGCUGUCGUCAGCUCGUGUCGUGAGAUGUUCGGUUAAGUCCGGCAACGAGCGCAACCCCUCGUUCCUAGUUGCCAGCGGGUAAUGCCGGGGACUCUAGGAAGACAAACCUCGUGUAGAGGUGGGAAGGUGGGGACGACGUCAAGUCAGUAUGGGCCCUUACGACCAGGGCUGCACACGUGCUACAAUGCUCGGCACAAUGGGAUGCAAUACCGCGAGGUUGAGCCAAUCCAUAAAACGAGCCC